GAUGAACGUUGGCGGCGUGCCUAAUACAUGCAAGUCGUACGGGAAAAUGCCUUUCGGGGCAUAAGUACAGUGGCAAACGGGUGCAUAACACGUAAGCAACCUUCCCUUCAGUUGGGAGUAACUCUACUAACGUGGAGCUAAUACCGAAUAAUGUUGCGCUGCCGCAUGGCAAUGCAAUUAAAGGGACUUUUGUCCCGUUGAAGGUGGGGCGUUGCGGCCUAUUAGCUAGUUGGCGGGU
rnacentral:rRNA from 1 species